rnacentral:rRNA from 1 species
AGCGAACGCUGGCGGUAGGCCUAACACAUGCAAGUCGAACGGCAGCACAGUAAGAGCUUGCUCUUACGGGUGGCGAGUGUCGGACGGGUGAGGAAUACAUCGGAAUCUACUUUUUCGUGGGGGAUAACGUAGGGAAACUUACGCUAAUACCGCAUACGACCUACGGGUGAAAGCAGGGGAUCUUCGGACCUUGCGCGAUUGAAUGAGCGGAUGUCGGAUUAGCUAGUUGGCGGGGUAAAGGCCCACCAAGGCGACGAUCCGUAGCUGGUCUGAGAGGAUGAUCAGCCACACUGGAACUGAGACACGGUCCAGACUCCUACGGGAGGCAGCAGUGGGGAAUAUUGGACAAUGGGCGCAAGCCUGAUCCAGCCAUACCGCGUGGGUGAAGAAGGCCUUCGGGUUGUAAAGCCCUUUUGUUGGGAAAGAAAAGCAGCAGGUUAAUACCCCGCUGUUCUGACGGUACCCAAAGAAUAAGCACCGGCUAACUUCGUG